UACAGAGGUGGCAAGCGUUGUUCGGAAUUACUGGGCGUAAAGGGCGCGUAGGCGGCCUCCUAAGUCGGACGUGAAAGCCCCAGGCUUAACCUGGGAACUGCGUCCGAUACUGGGAGGCUUGGAUUCGGGAGAGGGAUGUGGAAUUCCAGGUGUAGCGGUGAAAUGCGUAGAUAUCGGGAGGAAUACCGAUGGCGAAGGCAGGUCUCUGGGCUGACACUGACGCUCAUGCACGAAAGCGUGGGGAGCAAACAGG
rnacentral:rRNA from 1 species